AGUCAGGGCCGCCAUCCCUUCUGACCAUUGCUGGUCCCCAGGCAGUGUGGCUGUCUGUUCUUCCUGCUGGCACCAGAGUACCUCAGGUUUGGGAACAUAGCAUAGCUUCCUACAGCAGCUCCAGGCAACCAUGAAAGUGACAAAUUGUUCUCCAUCUACUGUUCCUGGCUGUGAAACAUAGUAAUCUGAAGACUUCAGAUAUUUGCUUCUUUAAUUAUUUUUGGAGCUGUACAAAAUAAUUAAAAAUUAGAAUAUAGUUGAAACAAACCAUGAAUAUUUUGGUUCAGUCCAUUCAGCUGAAAUUCCUUUGAAGUUUCAGACUAUCCCACUGUACUUUGUUGAGUAAAAAUAUUGACAUGUAUCUGCAAGUGUUUAGCAGUUAUAAGAACUGGCUUUGGGGACACUGGCUUUAUUCCUGGAAAAUUAACUUUUUUAUUCAGCAGGAUUACUGCAAAAUAUGGAUAUUUUGAUGAUGGCUAAAAAGCUUUAGUUCAGUAAAGUUAAAAUGUUGUAUGCUGUUUUUCUGCUAACAUCUGUGUAUUAGUUGGUAGGCAAAAGGCACAAGGUUCUUGCUAUUUAACCAUCCAUUCUAGCUCUUAUUACUGGAAAACAUUUUUGAUUCUUCAAAUAAAGACAUCAGUCCUUGGAUAAGCUGUAGAAACU